UGAUCCAGAGUACCACGGGACACGUGAAACCCUGUGGGAAGCAGGAGGGACCACCCUCCAAGGCUAAAUACUACCUAGUGACCGAUAGCGUAUAGUACCGUGAGGGAAAGGUGAAAAGAACCCCGGGAGGGGAGUGAAAUAGAACCUGAAACCCUGCACUUACAAGCUGUGGAAGCACAUUUCUUGUGUGACCGCGUACUUUUUGUAGAACGGGCCAACGAGUUACGUUAAGUAGCAAGGUUAAGCACUUAAGGUGCGGAGCCGUAGCGAAAGCGAGUUUUAACUGAGCGUUCAGUUACUUGACGUAGACCCGAAACCGGGCGACCUACCCAUGAGCAGGAUGAAGCGAAAGUAAAAUUUCGUGGAGGUCCGAACCCACGAGCGUUGAAAAGCUCGGGGAUGACUUGUGGGUAGCGGUGAAAUUCCAAUCGAGCCCGGAGAUAGCUGGUUCUCCCCGAAAUAGCUUUAGGGCUAGCCUCAAGGUGAGAGAUACGGAGGUAGAGCACUGAAUGUCCUAGGGGGUAUUGCACCUACCGAAGACUAUCAAACUCCGAAUGCCGUCAUCUUAUACUUGGGAGUCAGACUGUGGGUGAUAAGAUUCAUAGUCGAAAGGGCAACAGCCCAGAUCGUCAGCUAAGGUCCCUAAAUGUAAGUUAAGUGGUAAAGGAUGUGGGAUUGCACAGACAACCAGGAUGUUGGCUUAGAAGCAGCCACUCAUUCAAAGAGUGCGUAAUAGCUCACUGGUCGAGUGAUCCUGCGCCGAAGAUUUCCGGGGCUAAAACUU
rnacentral:rRNA from 1 species